rnacentral:rRNA from 2 species
CGGACGGGUGAGUAAUGUCUGGGAAACUGCCUGAUGGAGGGGGAUAACUACUGGAAACGGUAGCUAAUACCGCAUAACGUCGCAAGACCAAAGAGGGGGACCUUCGGGCCUCUUGCCAUCGGAUGUGCCCAGAUGGGAUUAGCUAGUAGGUGGGGUAACGGCUCACCUAGGCGACGAUCCCUAGCUGGUCUGAGAAGAUGACCAGCCACACUGGAACUGAGACACGGUCCAG